GUUGAAAAGGAGCUGACCAGGCAAGUUUGCGGGGUUGAUGCAAAAUCAGGGGGUCUAUCUAGGCCCAGAAAGAGAAGAGAACAUGAAUGAAGAUCUUGGAUCAGCAGGAUCUUAGCCCAUUUGAAGAACAGAGUGAAAGUCUACAUGGUUAAGGCAGGGUGAUGGUGGGAGUGCUUAAAAAGUGAUGCAAUCAGGAAAGGGUUGGGCAGAAGUCAGAGGAUGCCUUGGAGGCCACGCUAAAGUAUCACAGAGGGAUCCACUGAAGGACCAGAAAAUGCAUGACACAUGAGAAGAUGCACCUUCAUCUGUUCCAUGAGAAAUGUGUGAAUCAACAGCACAGAACUGCCGAAGGAAAAAAAAAAAACCUCCACAUAGUGUGGGUUAUUUCACCUUCACAAGCUGGGAGCCAUUAAGUAAUGGCUCCUUCCACUCUCCCCACCCCCUUCGGUGAAACACAUCCUGAACACUGAGCCCACAUUUUCCAGAAGAAUGUGCCCCAUGCCCCUCGGAAACUCCAUUUCGUUUACUUGGUUCAGUUAGUUAAUGACGGUCCAUUUUGGCUCAAACAUCCAAUUCCCUUUCAUCAAUCAUGUCUUUCUGGACUGUCCGUUUCAGAGCAGUGAUUACCAAGCCUUUCCACGCAGACAUCCACAGACGCCCUCGAAGAAAGACCCUGAUCCAGUUCUCCAUAUAGAAUUUCCUAGGCUCCCGUUUCUUCCACUUUCUUCCAAAUGAAAAGAAUGAGUUAUGUGAAAAUGGGAAACCCCACCAGAAAAUGGAUGUUGGUGACUCAAGUGUUAAUCUAGAAAUCUUAUUAUUUGGUGCUGGAAAAGGGCAUUGUAAUAUGAUGGGUUUUUUAUACAAUGCAAACGUGGGGAAUGCAAAACACUG
ensembl:lncRNA